AAUGAACGCUGGCGGCAGGCCUAACACAUGCAAGUCGAGCGAGGUAGCAAUACCUAGCGGCGGACGGGUGAGUAACGCGUGGGAACGUACCCUUUGCUUCGGAAUAGCCCCUGGAAACGGGGAGUAAUACCGGAUGAGCCCUACGGGGGAAAGAUUUAUCGGCAAAGGAUCGGCCCGCGUUGGAUUAGGUAGUUGGUGGGGUAAUGGCCUACCAAGCCGACGAUCCAUAGCUGGUUUGAGAGGAUGAUCAGCCACACUGGGACUGAGACACGGCCCAGACUCCUACGGGAGGCAGCAGUGGGGAAUUUUGGACAAUGGACGCAAGUCUGAUCCAGCCAUUCCGCGUGCAGGAUGAAGGCCCUCGGGUUGUAAACUGCUUUUGUACGGAACGAAAAGGUUUACUAUUAAUACUAGGAGCUCAUGACGGUACCGUAAGAAUAAGCACCGGCUAACUACGUG
rnacentral:rRNA from 1 species